rnacentral:rRNA from 1 species
UACGGAGGGUGCAAGCGUUGCUCGGAAUUAUUGGGCGUAAAGGGGAGGUAGGUGGUCUCGUUUGUCUUAGGUGAAAGCCUUGGGCUUAACCCAAGAAGUGCCUGAGAAACGGCGAGACUAGAGUACUGGAGAGGGUCGUGGAAUUCCCGGUGUAGCGGUGAAAUGCGUAGAGAUCGGGAGGAACACCUGAGGCGAAAGCGGCGACCUGGACAGUUACUGACACUCAACUCCGAAAGCGUGGGGAGCAAACAGG